AGAACAAACGCUGGCGGCGUGCCUAAUACAUGCAAGUCGAACGAGGAAGUAUCUUCGGAUAUUGUACUAGUGGCGUACGGGUGAGUAACGCGUGGAUAAUCUUCCUCUAGGUGGGGAAUAACCAGUCGAAAGAUUGGCUAAUACCGCAUAAGACCACAAACUCUUCGGAGUAAGGGGUUAAAGGCGUAAGCCGCCUGGAGAUGAGUCUGCGCCUGAUUAGCUAGUUGGUGAGGUAACGGCUCACCAAGGCGACGAUCAGUAGC
rnacentral:rRNA from 1 species